rnacentral:lncRNA from 1 species
UUAAACUAGUAGAUUCAGAUUUAAAUAGUCUUCUCUUUGCAGAUGACAUAAUUUUACUCUUAGAAACUAAAGAUGGACUUCAAAAUAGUAUGAAUAAAUUAUCCCAAUACUGUGAUAAAUGGCACUUAACAGUAAACAUAAAGAAGACAAAAUACAUGUUAUUUCAGAAACAAAAACUGUAAAUUAGAAAAACCAAUUAUUAAAUAUAAAACUCAAAUGAUUGACAAUGUUUAAGAAUAUAAAUUUCUUGGGUCUGUUCUUAGAAGAAAUGGUAACCUUAACUAUAGCUUUAAUGAUCUAGCCAAGAAAGCUAGGAAGAUUAUAUUUUCUUUAUAUUCCUGAUUUUCAGCUAUUGGUAAUGUGCCAAUCAAAGUAGCAUUUAGCUUUUUGAUUCAUUAGUCAGACCCGUAUUAAAGUAUGUAUGAUGGACUCAUACCUACCAUUCAUAACAGCAAAAACUCGUGCAAACUAUAGUAACAAAAUUGUUGAUCCAUUUUCUUUUAUAGAUAGAUCACCUUUUGAAAAGGUUCAUUUAUCAUUCUGUAAAUAUAUAUUGGGUGUUAGAAAAUGCUCAACAAAUUUGGCAACUCAUCUUGAAGUUGGAAGGUUACCAAUAGAAAAUUUUAUUUAAGUCCAGUCUCUACUUUAUUUGGCUAGGCUACACACUAAAGAUACUAAUCCUCUUUUUAAAGAAUCAUUUGAAAUUUGUAAGAUGUUAGAUUCUUAAAAUGUGUACUCCUGGUAUACAUAUGCCAAAGAUAUUAUCCAUAAAGAGAUAGAGGAUCCCAAAAAGUUGUUUUCAUGUAAAACUAUAAAGGAAGUCAAAUCUCUAAAAAAAAAUGUUAUCAAAGGAGGAAUUUCAAAUAAAUAUAAAAGCCUCUAUAAAACUAAUAUUGAAAAUUUAUGUGAACAUAAUAAACUUUUUCUCUACAAAGAUCUCAAAACAGAUACUGAGACAGAAUUUUACUUGUUACAUUCAAACUUUGAAUUUCGUAAACUUAUUACGAUCCUAGUCUGUAACUUGAAUUAGGUAGACAUAAAAAAGUACCACGAAAUCUUAGAUAAUGUAAUUUUUGCCCUAUUAAAGAUAAUUGAUGAUAAAUUUCACUUCUUCUUUCAUUGCGUAAUAAAUAAAAAUUUAAGAAAUAAUUACUUCACUGAAAAUGCUUCUCAAAAUCCCAACUUUAUGAGUUGCACUAAUAAAAAAAGCUACAAUAUAUACUUAAUCCAUCAAAUUUUCAACAUGUACAAAGUUUAGGUUCCUUUUUAAAACAGUCAAUGGAACUGAGGUCAGGGGACUCUUAAUAUACCAGGGUUAAAAGUUUUGUGUUAUAUUAUUAUGUUGUAAUUGGUAUUUUGACUUGUCACUAUAUUUUAUACUUGCAACAAUUGAUAUAUAUAUAUACUAGUAUAUAUACAUAUGCAUGAGUGUAUGUUAGUUUUUUUUGUUUUAGUUUGUCACAAACAUGUUUCAUUUGUUUAUAUG